rnacentral:rRNA from 1 species
AGAGUUUGAUCAUGGCUCAGAUUGAACGCUGGCGGCAGGCCUAACACAUGCAAGUCGAGCGGUAGCACAGAGAGCUUGCUCUCGGGUGACGAGCGGCGGACGGGUGAGUAAUGUCUGGGAAACUGCCUGAUGGAGGGGGAUAACUACUGGAAACGGUAGCUAAUACCGCAUAACGUCGCAAGACCAAAGUGGGGGACCUUCGGGCCUCAUGCCAUCAGAUGUGCCCAGAUGGGAUUAGCUAGUAGGUGGGGUAACGGCUCACCUAGGCGACGAUCCCUAGCUGGUCUGAGAGGAUGACCAGCCACACUGGAACUGAGACACGGUCCAGACUCCUACGGGAGGCAGCAGUGGGGAAUAUUGCACAAUGGGCGCAAGCCUGAUGCAGCCAUGCCGCGUGUGUGAAGAAGGCCUUCGGGUUGUAAAGCACUUUCAGCGGGGAGGAAGGCGAUAAGGUUAAUAACCUUGUCGAUUGACGUUACCCGCAGAAGAAGCACCGGCUAACUCCGUGCCAGCAGCCGCGGUAAUACGGAGGGUGCAAGCGUUAAUCGGAAUUACUGGGCGUAAAGCGCACGCAGGCGGUCUGUCAAGUCGGAUGUGAAAUCCCCGGGCUCAACCUGGGAACUGCAUUCGAAACUGGCAGGCUAGAGUCUUGUAGAGGGGGGUAGAAUUCCAGGUGUAGCGGUGAAAUGCGUAGAGAUCUGGAGGAAUACCGGUGGCGAAGGCGGCCCCCUGGACAAAGACUGACGCUCAGGUGCGAAAGCGUGGGGAGCAAACAGGAUUAGAUACCCUGGUAGUCCACGCCGUAAACGAUGUCGAUUUGGAGGUUGUGCCCUUGAGGCGUGGCUUCCGGAGCUAACGCGUUAAAUCGACCGCCUGGGGAGUACGGCCGCAAGGUUAAAACUCAAAUGAAUUGACGGGGGCCCGCACAAGCGGUGGAGCAUGUGGUUUAAUUCGAUGCAACGCGAAGAACCUUACCUGGUCUUGACAUCCACAGAACUUNNNNNNNNNNNNNNNNNNNNNNNNNNNNNNNNNNNNNNNNNNNNNNNNNNGGCCGGGAACUCAAAGGAGACUGCCAGUGAUAAACUGGAGGAAGGUGGGGAUGACGUCAAGUCAUCAUGGCCCUUACGACCAGGGCUACACACGUGCUACAAUGGCAUAUACAAAGAGAAGCGACCUCGCGAGAGCAAGCGGACCUCAUAAAGUAUGUCGUAGUCCGGAUUGGAGUCUGCAACUCGACUCCAUGAAGUCGGAAUCGCUAGUAAUCGUAGAUCAGAAUGCUACGGUGAAUACGUUCCCGGGCCUUGUACACACCGCCCGUCACACCAUGGGAGUGGGUUGCAAAAGAAGUAGGUAGCUUAACCUUCGGGAGGGCGCUUACCACUUUGUGAUUCAUGACUGGGGUGAAGUCGUAACAAGGUAACCGUAGGGGAACCUGCGGUUGGAUCACCU